AGACUGCUGUGCUAGCAAUCAGCGAGACUCCGUGGGCUAGGACCCUCCGAGCCAGGUGCAGGAUAUAAUCUCAUUGUGCGCCGCUUUUUUAAGUCCGUUGGAAAAGCGCAGUAUUCGGGUGGGAGUGACCCGAUUUUCCAGGUGCCGUCCAUCACCCCUUUCUUUGACUCGGAAAGGGAACUCCCUGACCCCUUGCGCUUCCCGAGUGAGGCAAUGCCUCGCCCUGCUUCGGCUCCGGCACGGUGCGCGCACCCACUGACCUGCGCCCACUGUUUGGCACUCCCUAGCGAGAUGAACCCGAUACCUCAGAUGGAAAUGCAGAAAUCACCUGUCUUCUGCGUCGCUCAGGCUGGGAGCUGUAGAUUGGAGCGGUUCCUAUUCUGCCAUCUUGGCUCCUCCCUAUACUAUCUUCUAGUUUCUUAAGUUGUAAAGGUUCCUUGGAGUCUCAGAAAAACCCAGUGAAUCCAGUCUCAAGUGAACCCAGUGAUGGUGAUUCAUGGUUCCUGAUUCUUUUCUAAACUGCUUUCUCAAUUCUCUUUGUUCAUAAUCUUUCCCAGGCAGGAAACUCAAAAGAGAGGUCAGAGAAGGACAAGAAUCCUCAUGCUAUUUGGCAUCUUAUUGUAAGACGUGGUGGAAUAUGUUCAGCAAGUAAAUUUGGCAGAAUUGAAGAGUAAAGGAUUGGCAUAUCAAAAUGCAUAUACAAAAAAAUUAAUCAAAGCAAACAACUUCAUUCAUAGUGUUACAGUAAACAAGUUUUAGUAUGGAAUUUUAAAAGUCUUAGAUUCAGGUUGUGGCUUCACUAUUUCCAGGAGCAUGACUAGUUUGAUUUAUGUACCCACUCUGAGCUUUAGUUUUCUUAUCCGUAAUAUAGAAACAAUAUCUGCUGUACUUUUCUUUUUUUAUUAUUAUACUUUAA
rnacentral:lncRNA from 10 species